rnacentral:tRNA from 1 species
GCUAAUGUGGCCGAGUGGUUAAGGCGCUGGAUUUAAGUCCCAGUGGAAGUAUCCGCGCAGGUUCGAGUCCUGUCAUUAGCA